AGAGUUUGAUCCUGGCUCAGAGCGAACGCUGGCGGCAGGCCUAACACAUGCAAGUCGAACGGGCCCCUUCGGGGGUCAGUGGCAGACGGGUGAGUAACGCGUGGGAACGUGCCCAUCGGUUCGGGAUAACCCAGGGAAACUUGGGCUAAUACCGGAUACGCCCUUUUGGGGAAAGAUUCAUUGCCGAUGGAUCGGCCCGCGUCUGAUUAGCUAGUUGGCGAGGUAACGGCUCACCAAGGCGACGAUCAGUAGCUGGUCUGAGAGGAUGAUCAGCCACACUGGGACUGAGACACGGCCCAGACUCCUACGGGAGGCAGCAGUGGGGAAUAUUGGACAAUGGGCGCAAGCCUGAUCCAGCCAUGCCGCGUGAGUGAUGAAGGCCUUAGGGUUGUAAAGCUCUUUCACCCACGACGAUAAUGACGGUAGUGGGAGAAGAAGCCCCGGCUAACUUCGUGCCAGCAGCCGCGGUAAUACGAAGGGGGCUAGCGUUGCUCGGAAUCACUGGGCGUAAAGGGCGCGUAGGCGGCCGAUCAAGUCAGGGGUGAAAGCCUGUGGCUCAACCACAGAAUUGCCUUUGAUACUGUUCGGCUCGAGACCGGAAGAGGUUGGUGGAACUGCGAGUGUAGAGGUGAAAUUCGUAGAUAUUCGCAAGAACACCAGUGGCGAAGGCGGCCAACUGGUCCGGUUCUGAGCUGAGGCGCGAAAGCGUGGGGAGCAAACAGGAUUAGAUACCCUAGUAGUCC
rnacentral:rRNA from 1 species